CGAGUGAAGCGGUAACAGCUCAAAUUUGAAAUCUGGCCUCACGGUCCGAGUUGUAAUUUGUAGAGGAUGCUUCGAGCAUGGUCUGGCCUAAGUUCCUUGGAACAGGACGUCAUAGAGGGUGAGAAUCCCGUAUGCGGCCAGGUGCCUACGCUCAUGUGAAGCUCCUUCGACGAGUCGAGUUGUUUGGGAAUGCAGCUCAAAAUGGGUGGUAAAUUUCAUCUAAAGCUAAAUAUUGGCCAGAGACCGAUAGCGCACAAGUAGAGUGAUCGAAAGAUGAAAAGCACUUUGGAAAGAGAGUUAAACAGUACGUGAAAUUGUUGAAAGGGAAGCGCUUGCAACCAGACUUGCGCGCGGCCGAUCAUCCGGUGUUCUCACCGGUGCACUCGGCCGUGCUCAGGCCAGCAUCGGUUUUGGCGGCUGGAUAAAGGCCCUAGGAAUGUAGCUCCUCUCGGGGAGUGUUAUAGCCUAGGGUGCAAUGCAGCCUGCUGGGACCGAGGACCGCGCUUCGGCUAGGAUGCUGGCGUAAUGGUUGUAAGCGGCCCGUCUUGAAACACGGACCAAGGAGUCUAACAUCUAUGCGAGUGUUUGGGUGUCAAACCCAUACGCGUAAUGAAAGUGAACGGAGGUGAGAACCCUUAAGGGUGCAUCAUCGACCGGUCCUGAAGUUUACGGAAGGAUCUGAGUAAGAGCAUAGCUGUUGGGACCCGAAAGAUGGUGAACUAUGCCUGAAUAGGGUGAAGCCAGAGGAAACUCUGGUGGAGGCUCGCAGCGGUUCUGACGUGCAAAUCGAUCGUCAAAUUUGGGUAUAGGGGCG
rnacentral:rRNA from 2 species